rnacentral:rRNA from 1 species
GGGGGAAGAAAGUCUCAAGGGUAAUAUGCUUGAGAACCGACGUUACCUACAGAAGAAGCACUGGCUAACUCUGUGCCAGCAGCCGCGGUAAUACAGAGAGUGCAAGCGUUAAUCGGAAUUACUGGGCGUAAAGCGCACGUAGGUGGAUAUUUAAGUCGGAUGUGAAAGCCCCAAGGCUUAACCUGGGAAUUGCAUCCGAUACUGGAUGUCUCGAGUAUGGUAGAGGGAAGUGGAAUUUCCGGUGUAGCGGUGAAAUGCGUAGAUAUCGGAAAGAACACCAGUGGCGAAGGCGGCUUCCUGGACCAAUACUGACACUGAGGUGCGAAAGCGUGGGGAGCAAACAGGAUUAGAGACCCUGGUAGUCCACGCCGUCAACGAUGAGAACUAGCUGUUGGAGAGCUAACUUUCCAGUAGCGAAGCUAACGCGUUAAGUUCUCCGCCUGGGGAGUACGGCCGCAAGGUUAAAACUCAAAGAAAU